GUGGAAGCGUCUGGAAAGGCGCGCGAUACAGGGUGACAGCCCCGUACACAAAAAUGCACAUACUGUGAGCUCGAUGAGUAGGGCGGGACACGUGGUAUCCUGUCUGAAUAUGGGGGGACCAUCCUCCAAGGCUAAAUACUCCUGACUGACCGAUAGUGAACCAGUACCGUGAGGGAAAGGCGAAAAGAACCCCGGCGAGGGGAGUGAAAAAGAACCUGAAACCGUGUACGUACAAGCAGUGGGAGCACAGAGCAAUCUGUGUGACUGCGUACCUUUUGUAUAAUGGGUCAGCGACUUAUAUUCUGUAGCAAGGUUAACCGAAUAGGGGAGCCGAAGGGAAACCGAGUCUUAACUGGGCGUUAAGUUGCAGGGUAUAGACCCGAAACCCGGUGAUCUAGCCAUGGGCAGGUUGAAGGUUGGGUAACACUAACUGGAGGACCGAACCGACUAAUGUUGAAAAAUUAGCGGAUGACUUGUGGCUGGGGGUGAAAGGCCAAUCAAACCGGGAGAUAGCUGGUUCUCCCCGAAAGCUAUUUAGGUAGCGCCUCGUGAAUUCAUCUCCGGGGGUAGAGCACUGUUUCGGCAAGGGGGUCAUCCCGACUUACCAACCCGAUGCAAACUGCGAAUACCGGAGAAUGUUAUCACGGGAGACACACGGCGGGUGCUAACGUCCGUCGUGAAGAGGGAAACAACCCAGACCGCCAGCUAAGGUCCCAAAGUCAUGGUUAAGUGGGAAACGAUGUGGGAAGGCCCAGACAGCCAGGAUGUUGGCUUAGAAGCAGCCAUCAUUUAAAGAAAGCGUAAUAGCUCACUGGUCGAGUCGGCCUGCGCGGAAGAUGUAACGGGGCUAAACCAUGCAC
rnacentral:rRNA from 1 species